rnacentral:snRNA from 1 species
UCAGCUCUCUUUGCCUUUCUGGCUUGGAUCAAGUGAAGUAGCUGUUCUUUUUAGUUUAAUCUCUAGAAGCUUCCCUAUGGGGAUUCUAAGAUUAAUCCAGUUUUUGGAAACUGGCUGGUGGCCGCUGAGCUCAGCUCACGUCACUGGUCACGGUGUCGCUCCUAUUGCACUGCCUGGGGCUGACGCGACUCCUC